ensembl:lncRNA
AAAGAGUUGAAAGCGUGAAGUGAUUUAAAACAGACCAUCUGUGAGAAAGCACAAGGCUGGGAGCCCAGAUUUCUUUUUCCUCUUUCCAAAAGCUCAGCUAACUUCCCAACAUUCAAUCAAGAACCUUCUUCUGGAAAGUAUCACGCAAUAACAGAGGAACUUGGAAGGGACUUCUGGAGAUCAUCGAGUCCAACCCCCUGCUGAAGCAGGUUCCCUACAGUACGUUGCACAGAAAAGUGUCCAGACUUAUGAGAAAUGCAGUACACUCUGGAUACCUGGUAGAAAAAUGAAUGAACUAACAG